GAGGGUCGCGAGACCUCCCUAAUACCUUCAACCAACCCGCGUACCUACCCGAGGGGGCCCUAGCGGCCACAAACAUGAUGCCUCGGUCGGCGGCCCCAGGGGGGGCCUUUGCCCGCGCGCCUUUCGGGGCGCCGGGUGCCGGCCGGCGGCCCAAACCAAAACUUGAACGUUAUAAUAAUCAAUUCUUUACAAACCAAAACCAUUA
rnacentral:misc_RNA from 1 species